AUCAAGUUGUUUGUUUUCAGACCUCACUAGCUGCUGAAAAAUCAGGAGAGUCUUAGAGCCAAGUGCUAUGUGCUCAGCUGAAGAUGGAUGUGGCAAUUAGAGGUAAAACGCUGCUCCAGUGAGACACAGGAUGCUCUCGGGUGGAGCAGGCCUUUGUGCUGCUCUCUGGAGAUGCUCUUCACAGGGACAGAGGCAGGGAGAGCCUCGGGGUGUGUCCAAAAGCAAUGACUUCUCCAGGAUUUGCUCCAGGAAGGAGUCGAAGUAGCUGUUGACCGUUUCGAAGCCGUCCCGGAUGGUGUCGAUGCCCCAGUCGGAGUAGGAUGACUCUGCCUGUGGGUCCUGGUGGCCGGUGCUCUCCCGUGCUGCCCCCUCGGAGCACUGCCCCGGCCCCAGGCACAGGCACAGCAGCGCUGCCCGGAGCAGCAGCCUCAUGCUGCAGUC